GGACAGAUGGCGGAGAGGUCUAACGCGCUGUGUUCAGGUUUUCAUAUCGCCUCGCAGUCUCCUAGGAGGCGUGGGUUCGAAUCCCACUCUGUUCA